rnacentral:tRNA from 1 species
GGGGUCUUGGCUCAACUCGGCAGAGCGUCUGGCUCCAGACCAGAAGGUUGGGGGUUCAAAUCCCUCAGACCCCA